UGGCGGACGGGUGAGUAAUGUCUGGGAAACUGCCCGAUGGAGGGGGAUAACUACUGGAAACGGUAGCUAAUACCGCAUAACGUCGCAAGACCAAAGAGGGGGACCUUCGGGCCUCUUGCCAUCGGAUGUGCCCAGAUGGGAUUAGCUAGUAGGUGGGGUAACGGCUCACCUGGGCGACGAUCCCUAGCUGGUCUGAGAGGAUGACCAGCCACACUGGAACUGAGACACGGUCCAG
rnacentral:rRNA from 1 species